rnacentral:rRNA from 1 species
GAUGAACGCUGGCGGCGUGCCUAAUACAUGCAAGUCGAGCGAACAGACGAGGAGCUUGCUCCUCUGACGUUAGCGGCGGACGGGUGAGUAACACGUGGAUAACCUACCUAUAAGACUGGGAUAACUUCGGGAAACCGGAGCUAAUACCGGAUAAUAUAUUGAACCGCAUGGUUCAGUAGUGAAAGACGGUUUUGCUGUCACUUAUAGAUGGAUCCGCGCCGCAUUAGCUAGUUGGUAAGGUAACGGCUUACCAAGGCAACGAUGCGUAGCCGACCUGAGAGGGUGAUCGGCCACACUGGAACUGAGACACGGUCCAGACUCCUACGGGAGGCAGCAGUAGGGAAUCUUCCGCGAUGGGCGAAAGCCUGACGGAGCAACGCCGCGUGAGUGAUGAAGGUCUUCGUAUCGUAAAACUCUGUUAUUAGUGAAGACCAAUUGUGUAUGUAACUAUGCACGUCUUGACGGUACCUAAUCAGAAAGCCCCGGCUAACUACGUG